AGGCUUAUGUUGAGUUUGACAAAAACAUUACAUAGAUUCUUGAAUAUUAUAACUGAAAAAAUAUUCUUUAUUAUUAAACUCAAGCCU